rnacentral:rRNA from 1 species
UACAGAGGGUGCGAGCGUUAAUCGGAAUUACUGGGCGUAAAGCGCGCGUAGGCGGUUUUGUAAGUCGGGUGUGAAAUCCCCAAGCUUAACUUGGGAACUGCAUUCGAGACUGCAUAGCUAGAGUAUGGGAGAGGGAAGUGGAAUUUCAGGUGUAGCGGUGAAAUGCGUAGAUAUCUGAAGGAACAUCAGUGGCGAAAGCGGGUCUCUGGGCCGAUACUGACGCUGAGGAGCGAAAGCGUGGGGAGCGAACAGG